AGCAAUGCCGCGUGUGUGAAGAAGGCCUUCGGGUUGUAAAGCACUUUUGUCCGGAAAGAAAUGGCUCUGGUUAAUACCUGGGGUCGAUGACGGUACCGGAAGAAUAAGGACCGGCUAACUACGUGCCAGCAGCCGCGGUAAUACGUAGGGUCCAAGCGUUAAUCGGAAUUACUGGGCGUAAAGCGUGCGCAGGCGGUUGUGCAAGACCGAUGUGAAAUCCCCGAGCUUAACUUGGGAAUUGCAUUGGUGACUGCACGGCUAGAGUGUGUCAGAGGGGGGUAGAAUUCCACGUGUAGCAGUGAAAUGCGUAGAGAUGUGGAGGAAUACCGAUGGCGAAGGCAGCCCCCUGGGAUAACACUGACGCUCAUGCACGAAAGCGUGGGGAGCAAACAGGAUUAGAUACCCUGGUAGUCCACGCCCUAAACGAUGUCAACUAGUUGUUGGGGAUUCAUUUCCUUAGUAACGUAGCUAACGCGUGAAGUUGACCGCCUGGGGAGUAC
rnacentral:rRNA from 1 species